GGCUCCGUGGCUUAGUCUUAGUAAAAGGCGCCUGUCUCGUAAACAGGAGGUCCUGGGUUCAAAUCCCAGUGGGGCUU
rnacentral:tRNA from 2 species